AGUGCGCACUCCUCCCAGUGCACUGGCCGGUUGGAGUUUUGCCAGGGAGGCCUUCCCACCUGCCUGUCUCAAUGGAAAGAAUAUGUGGAUUUGGAUUCAGGGACACCUUUAUCACCUAUGUGACUUUAGAGCCAGCAAGCGUUCCUGAAGCAUUCAGAAUUGUCUAAUUUCACCAAAUGAAUGAUCCCUGAGGGAUACCAUGGAUCCUGCUGGUCUAGGAUUGGCUCCAGCUUUUUCUGGAUCUGCAUUUGCUGUGCAACCCUGCUCGGGGGCUGAGAGAUGCUCUGGAGCUGUCUAGGCUGCUAAUAUAUCUGACCACACUGGCUCUGCAAGACCAUGGCUGAAGACUGCUUAAAUGUUGUCCCUGAGUCAAUAUCUUAACAUUUAUUGCAUCUUUUAUUUUCUUAACAAAAAUGAAGGCAUUUGUGACUGUGUUGUUUUCCAUCAAAAAUUGGGAAUCAUGCCCUUUCAUACAACACAGUUGUGACACAAUUUGUUGAAGUGAAAGAACACUGGAACAGAAACAAGAAUACCUGAGAUGGAGACUCACCUCUUACCAUCAAUCUAGUGUUGACUUUGGGUCCAUCUUUUCUUCUGGGGUAGUAGAAAGAUCAAGAUCAUCAGAGAACGUAGGGUGCAAUAUCAGCUCUCCAGUACCAAACACGGUUCAUUAACCUCUCGGAACCUCAGGUGUCUUGGGGCAUAGUUCAUGUCUCCUGGCCCAUCUCACAGGAUUAUCAGGAGGACGAAUGAGAUAAAAUAUCUUCAUAUAUUUUUGAAGAAAGAAGAGGCUGACCAAUUAAGAGGAGUGAAAUUUGGAGGAAAUUACUAACCUGAUAAUUAGAACACUGAUAAAAGAAAAAUGGGAGUCUCUAAGAACAAAUGAGUAAACAAUUUCUCAGGCUAAAGAAAAUAUCACCUAAUGCUUCUGAUAUACAGAAUUGUGUGCUGCAAAUGGUUGAAAAGAUUUUAGUUUCAACACCUAAUUCCCAUCAUUCUGUGGCAAAAUAUAUCUUGAGUUCUGAUGGGCGCCAGAACAACAUCUGAAGAUUGAAUGAAACUUCUAAAGGUGAGUGAUAACAAGGCCCGUCCUGUACUUCACAGAAGACUUCUGAGGGUCAAAGAGAAGAUUUAUAGGAGCAUGGACUGGAACUGAAUUGUUCCCUUUGGAUCCCCGGUACCCAACUCGGAUUCUGGCAUAUAAUAGUAAUUCCAAAAUUAUUUGAACAAUUGCAUGGAUGAGUCAUUUUCAUAAAUAGGUAAGGCAGGAGAAAAAGUUGAUUUGAAAGAAGAGAUAACCUUUGACAUUAGACAUAUUAAAGUUUGAGAGGCCAGGGAUAUCUGGAAAUUGCCAGCCAUUGAGAAUAUAAAACCGAGUUGGGAAAGGUGCAAGUAAUAACACAGAUUUGCAAAUCGCCUGUACAAAGUUGAUCAUUGUCAGGCCGUGUGAGUUCUCCAAAGGAGAAAUGUAGAAGAGGAAGACAGGCUUAGCUAAGAGUUUUUAUUCCAAGAAUAGGAAGAAGAAUAGGCAGGCAUUGGAUAUGAAUGGUGAAUUCCCACCUGCGAAGAUGAGGAGGGCAUCCUGAGCAAGUCAUAAUCCUUAUGAGAAGCCAAUGUUUAUCAUCUUUGAUCUUGGGAUCUUGUUCAUGGAUUUCUCUCCCCAAACAUUUAUAUGCUUUGAUCUAGAAGUACUGGAAAUAUUCCCAAGGGAAUUAAGCAACUCAGAAGUUAUAUAUGCCAAUAAUUUCCUUACAGAAUGACCU
rnacentral:lncRNA from 10 species